AUGGCAUGCAAUGGCUUUUUUUCUGCUACUACUUAUAUUAUGUAUCAAAGAUCUACGCGUAAUUGGAAGGUGCUUUGUUGGAACGUUCGAGGCCUCAACUCUGAAGCUCGUCAGCGUUCUGUUAGAGAGAAAAUUACUGAAAGUCAGUGUGCCAUUGCCUGCCUACAAGAAACUAAGUUGUCUGAUUGUUCCCGUUCGGUAGUUAAGGCAAUAUGUCCUGUGGGCUUUGAUCAAUUUAUUGACUCACCUUCAAGGGGAGCAUCAGGAGGGAUUCUGACAGUCUGGCGAUCUGACUCUUUUAAGGGUGUGUUAAUUGAAGUUAAGCCUUUCGGCAUUGUCAUCAGUUUUACCUCAAUGCAUAAUAAUGAACAAUGGUUCUUAGUUAAUGUGUAUGGGCCAUGUCAGGGUGAGAUGAGGGACGACUUUGUCAACUGGUUGUACCAUCUGCAAGUAGAGCCUGAACAAAAAUGGUUGAUUGUGGGCGAUUUCAAUUUCAUCAGAUCAAUGGAGAAUAGAAAUUUGCCAGGAGGGGAUGUUAAUGAUAUUUUUAUCUUUAACGAGAUCAUUGGUCAUUUAGGGCUGCUUGAACUUCCACUUAAAGGUAGAAGAUUCACAUGGUCUAACAUGCAGGAUCUACCGCUUUUGGAGCAGCUGGACUGGUUUUUUACUUCUGCGAGCUGGAUAAAUCAUUAUCCCAUGACACAAGUGGCACCUCUUGCGAGAACAACAUCUGAUCAUGUUCCAUGUAUUAUCACUAUCAGCACCUCAAUCCCUAAAGCACAUAUUUUUAGGUUUGAAAAUUAUUGGGUGCAACAGCCUGGAUUCAUGGAUUGUGUAUGGGAGGUCUGGAACAAGCCCUCACAUAAACUCCAUAUAUCUGCAGUCAUUAUGGACAAAUUGAAAUCUUUGAGGUUUGCUUUAAAGAAAUGGCAGAAGGGGCUCUCUCACAUUAAAUUGUUAAUUGAAAAAUGCAAUUGGGUAAUUCUUUGGCUGGAUGAUUUAGAGGACUGGAGGCCUCUGUCUAUUCCAGAAAACAAUUUCAGGAAAUUGUGCAAGUUGCACCAUGAACACCUUUUGCAUUUGCAUUAUUUAUAUUGGAGGAAAAGGUGUACUAUCAGAUAUAUUAAGGUGGGGGAAGAGAAUUCCAAAUUCUUCCAGGCCAUGGCAACAGAGAGAUAUAGAAAAAACUCUAUUGCUAGUCUGCAUUUGUCUGAUGGGACUGUUUCUUCAGAUCAUGGGGAGAUAGCUAAGGAAUUCUUGGUAACUUUCAAAGGAAGAAUGUGA
rnacentral:rRNA from 1 species